GUCUGUUCCUUUUCCCUUCCGAAUUCUUGCUUCUGCCGCAGCACAGUCUUACGGAGCAGUUUCGAGGCUCUACCGCCAGCGGCUUGUUGGUGCUGUGGAAGCCCCUAGGUAGCUGAGAAGUUGAUGGAAUCUUCUUACUGGUGCAGCUUUCACUAUUGCUUGUUGUUCGAGUGUGAGAUAAAGGUGAGCAGACAAUUCUCGAGUGUACUGUUUACCUACAGCACACUGCAACUCGACUUCUGAAAGUUGAGAGAAACAGGUUUGCACAGUUGUGUGUGACGUAGAAAAGACAUGUCAUCUGAUAACAGGAACAUAGCUUUUAUGCUAAUAAAAUGCUUUUAAAAUUA